GGAGUUAGCCGGUGCUUCUUCUGUGAGUGAUGUCCUUCCUUCCGGCUAUUAACCCGCAGGCCUUCUUCCUCACUGAAAAGUGCUUUACAACCCGAAGGCCUUCUUCACACACGCGGCAUGGCUGGAUCAGGGUUGCCCCCCAUUGUCCAAUAUUCCCCACUGCUGCCUCCCGUAGGAGUCUGGGCCGUGUCUCAGUCCCAGUGUGGCUGAUCAUCCUCUCAGACCAGCUACGGGAUCGUCGCCUUGGUGAGCCGUUACCUCACCAACCAGCUAAUCCGACAUAGGCUCAUCCGAUAGCGCGAGGCCCGAAGGUCCCCCGCUUUCCCCCGUAGGGCGUAUGCGGUAUUAGCCUGGGUUUUCCCCCAGGUUAUCCCCCACUACCGGGCAGAUUCCUAUGCAUUACUCACCCGUCCGCCGCUCGCCACCAGGGAGCAAGCUCCCCGUGCUGCCGCUCGACUUGCAUGUGUUAGGCCGUGCCGCCACGCGUUCAAUCUGAGCCACGAAUCGAACCCUACGA
rnacentral:rRNA from 1 species